ACUCACUCACUGACCCUUCCUUUCUUCCUUCAUUUCGGAUAAAAAAAAACCCACAAAUCCUUUCUUCUCCCUUUUUCUCAGUAGAAGAAACCCUCAGAUGGUUUUGUUUCCUCAUCUCACACCCUUACUUCUUUCUUCUUCCUUCCAUCCUUGUAGCCACGCGUUCUUCCUUUGCCACGUCUUCAUUCAGACCGCAUCAUCAGGCACGUUCAUUUUCUUCUCGAGAGCUCACCAUCAACGGGUUGGUGCAAAGGUUAUCGCCAUUAGGUCUUGGUAUAAUCUUUCUUGAUCUCUAAUUCCUCGUUAUUUUGCUGCGUUUCAUUCUCGAAGAAGCUUCAAGGUCCUUUAAAUCAGCUCGCGUCGCGCAUUCAGGCCUCUUCCUUGGAGCCUCUUCCAUCAGGUGGUAUUCAGAGCUCUGAUUCUUUCACGCAAUUCAAAAGCUAAGUAUCUCUCUCCUUUGUGUCGUGUUUUCAUUUGAUUCAUUAUUGUGUUGACACUGUUUCGCAUCUCUGUUUUGAUGUUUUUCUCUAAUUCAUGUAAGGUUGAAUUUGUAUUGGCAUGUUUUGUCUUAAUUCUGAGUAUUAUAUGUUAAUUCUGCUCAUAAACUGUUUGUUUAAAUGUCUAAGAGAGCUAAUAUGAUAUUGUUCAUUCUUGAUAACUUACUACUCUUCAUAUUAAAAUGCGCUCUCUGUAUCCUCACGCCAAAGGCAUACUGUGGCAUAUUGUUAGGGCUCAAAGAGAAAGGCAUCAACGUUGCAAUCGCUGCUCGCUCACCAACUGCUGACAUAGCAACAAUUUUCCUUAACAAAUUGGGCUUCUCGCCGUUGAUCAAUCUUUUUCAUUUUUCUUUGUAAUGGAGGUUUCUUUUUGUCAUGUUAAUACAGGGUUUGAUCACAAAUAAUGAAAGGCAUUAGAGGAGCCAUUUGUGUAUGAAGAGGAUAAUUAUAGUGGUGUUGCAUGUUUGAAUGUGAUAGCAAAACGAAUUGUUACAGUUUUUGCUUCUUUAAGAGGAUAAUUAUAGCGGUAAUACUAGGAUUAGACAUCCUUUUUUCUAAUUCUGAAUGUUUUUUUUUUCUUUUGGAAUGAUGGAAUUUUGACAAUGAAGUAUAUUUUAUAGGUAUGUAUUUUUAAUGUAUGUUAAUUAUGAUGCAGGGGCUAGUUUUUUAAACAUUAUAGUUUGUUCUGUCAUCCAACAUGAUUUGAUUUUUAUCUCUGCAGUCAUGUCGGUAUCCAGGUGGAAGAUAAUAUAUCUAUUCUAUGCUUAGAUUUAUGAUGAAUGCGGUUUGAGAUUGCAGAGCUGGUGGAGAAUUUGAAUGCAUCAAAUAGUCAAGUAAAUUUC